AGGGAUCAGUGGCCAAGAUUUGGGCCAGAGCCAGGCCAGCUGCUUCCCUGAGAGUAGACAGCCCCAUGGAUGCAGGACAGGCAAUCUGGCUUGAUCUCUUCACUCUCCUUGUCAAGUGUAAAUGUCACUACGUGUCCUGCCAGAUAUGUGGAGAUGGCUGCGUGUUCUCAGAAAGUUUCCGGUUUCUCCCUCUUUGAGCAAGCAUUUCUCAUUCUUUCCAGCUUCCAUCCAGUCACAGGCUUGUGGAAGGCACUGCACACCUCGUCAAGCAAAGGAAAGUGUGCCCAUUGAUAAAUUAACCUUCCAAUGAAGUCAAAAGCGGGAGGAAAUAUUUCAGCAUAAUGCAAUGCACAAAUUUGCUGUUGUGUACCCUUGGUUUUUAAAGAGGAGCAAUGACAUCACCAGACUGGAUUUAAGUGGGGCAGAGUUGCACAAAGUCAUCAGCCUCAUUCUCUUUCCCAGAAUCAUCAAAAUCCAGUGGUAAGACUAAAACCAAGAGGACCAGUGACAGCCUGGGAUGCAGUAGAUGAACUUUGUGUUUUUAUACCUGACUAAGUUCUAAGAGCGCCACAACUCCUACUUCAGUCACCUUCAUGGCCAUUUGAGCAAAUUGUUUUAUGCCCUCAUUCUGCUGUGGGAAGUCUUUGGAUGCUUAGACAUGCCCUUAACUCAUGAUGAGUUUGAGGUGUGUUGGCUACAUACAGCCUGGUUUAGCCUGCCAAGAUGGUAUACUGAAGUAUGGCCAUUGUCCAUACUACAGUUUCAUAGAGCCACAAAUGAAAGAUGGAUGAAAGGUAGAUGAGCACCCCUGAAAAAGAGUUUAACAAGCCUUCACACUGGAGGUGCUAAUUCUUCCUGGUCCUGUCCUACAACCCCAUACUGCAUACUCUGAAAAGGAAAGCUCCUGACGCCAUCUUUGCCAAUUUCUGCUCUUCUUUCCCAGCCAUACUCAAUGGAAAUAUACCAUAUCAUAUUUGACAAAUCUUAUCAUUCCAUGUGAAGUCUCCCAGGCAGACUUAUUCUGAGGCAAUAUGUAAUUUUGCACACGGGAUAUCACUACUUUCCCUUCUUAUCCAAACUUCUUUAUAGUCUCCUUUGAUUUGGCUUUGGAGCUCUGGCUCUGCCUGCAAGGCACAACCUAAUGUGGUUGAGAUCCCAGUGCAGUGUUUAUUAUGAAGAAAUUUAGAUCUCAGCACUAGGCAGGGAAGCCUGAAUCUUAUCCUCAGUGAUGAGACUGAUAAUUACCAUGGAGAAUAAGGAAUGGCUGACUCUGUAUGCAUUCUGCCCCUAUAAAAAAUCUGGAUUGCCAGCCAUUGCUCCAGUGCUCUCUAAGGAGGUGGCACCCCUAGCUUGCUUAUCAUUUUUUGGGCUAAUGUAAAAUUUCUUUCCCAUUGCUGACAAUUACACCAGAGAAAUUAAAAGGAAAGUCAGUGAAUAAUGCUUCAAUUUGUCAGCUGAAGGCUCUCCCCUUUAAGAUCCCCUUUUAUCUGGGCCCACUCUUACUUGUUCUAUCUGUUGCCUGGAUCUACUUUACUUUACUCCUUCAUAUUCUAAUGCAAAGUUCCCUACAAUACCCACAUUCUCUGACUCCUGAGAACAGACUAAUUGAGAGGGUGUGCUGUAUUACAAAAUACGAUUUGCCUAAAAAGGAGAUUACCAUCUAGCUCAUUAAUUUUACAUUACCAUACUGUGCUUCUAUUGAUGUUAUCACAAUGCUUUCUACAGCUCCUCACUGCGAUUGCAAAAAUACACAGAUUGUGCAGUCAUUAGUAAGACUAAAUGAUUUUUUUUUGAGUGAUGUGAGAAAAAGAAAAACUUUUCAAGAUCAUUUUCUCUGGCUUGAGUAAAGGGUUCUCUGACUACAAGAUUUGUUUACAUGUAAACAGUCAUGUAAAAUAUUCAGAGAAGAGUUGGAUGUAAGUGGUUAUAACUCUUUUACUCCUCCUAGCCUCAUUCCUUCCAUGUUGCCAUCAAUGAAAAAUCUUCUCUUCCUUCAAGGUCCAGUUCUCUAUCUCCCCUCCUCUUAUCUCUAUCCCAACAAAUCUUCCUCCUUAUCCUUCCUAUAGCAUAUGGUCUAGACCUCUCUUUGACACUUUCCACAUCAUCCCUUCUACAGUACUUGGUUGUAUUUCCCCAAUAAAUUGUAAGCAACCUGAGAGCA
rnacentral:lncRNA from 1 species